rnacentral:rRNA from 1 species
UACAGAGGGGGCAAGCGUUGUUCGGAAUUACUGGGCGUAAAGGGCGCGUAGGCGGCCUGCUAAGUCGAACGUGAAAUCCCUGGGCUCAACCCAGGAACUGCGUCCGAUACUGGUUGGCUUGAAUCCGGGAGAGGGAUGUGGAAUUCCAGGUGUAGCGGUGAAAUGCGUAGAUAUCUGGAGGAACACCGGUGGCGAAGGCGACAUCCUGGACCGGUAUUGACGCUGAGGCGCGAAGGCCAGGGGAGCAAACGGG